AUGAACGCUGGCGGCGUGCUUAACACAUGCACGUCGAACGAUGAAGCCCAGCUUGCUGGGUGGAUUAGUGGCGAACGGGUGAGUAACACGUGAGUAACCUGCCCUUGACUCUGGGAUAAGCCUGGGAAACUGGGUCUAAUACUGGAUAUGACUUCUCAUCGCAUGGUGGGGGGUGGAAAGAUUUAUUGGUCUUGGAUGGACUCGCGGCCUAUCAGCUUGUUGGUGAGGUAAUGGCUCACCAAGGCGACGACGGGUAGCCGGCCUGAGAGGGUGACCGGCCACACUGGGACUGAGACACGGCCCAGACUCCUACGGGAGGCAGCAGUGGGGAAUAUUGCACAAUGGGCGCAAGCCUGAUGCAGCGACGCCGCGUGAGGGAUGACGGCCUUCGGGUUGUAAACCUCUUUCAGUAGGGAAGAAGCGAGAGUGACGGUACCUGCAGAAGAAGCGCCGGCUAACUACGUG
rnacentral:rRNA from 1 species